rnacentral:rRNA from 1 species
CUGACAUAAGUAACGAUAAAGCGGGUGAAAAGCCCGCUCGCCGGAAGACCAAGGGUUCCUGUCCAACGUUAAUCGGGGCAGGGUGAGUCGACCCCUAAGGCGAGGCCGAAAGGCGUAGUCGAUGGGAAACAGGUUAAUAUUCCUGUACUUGGUGUUACUGCGAAGGGGGGACGGAGAAGGCUAUGUUGGCCGGGCGACGGUUGUCCCGGUUUAAGCGUGUAGGCUGGUUUUCCAGGCAAAUCCGGAAAACUAAGGCUGAGGCGUGAUGACGAGGCACUACGGUGCUGAAGCAACAAAUGCCCUGCUUCCAGGAAAAGCCUCUAAGCAUCAGGUAACAUCAAAUCGUACCCCAAACCGACACAGGUGGUCAGGUAGAGAAUACCAAGGCGCUUGAGAGAACUCGGGUGAAGGAACUAGGCAAAAUGGUGCCGUAACUUCGGGAGAAGGCACGCUGAUAUGUAGGUGAAGUCCCUCGCGGAUGGAGCUGAAAUCAGUCGAAGAUACCAGCUGGCUGCAACUGUUUAUUAAAAACACAGCACUGUGCAAACACGAAAGUGGACGUAUACGGUGUGACGCCUGCCCGGUGCCGGAAGGUUAAUUGAUGGGGUCAGCGCAAGCGAAGCUCUUGAUCGAAGCCCCGGUAAACGGCGGCCGUAACUAUAACGGUCCUAAGGUAGCGAAAUUCCUUGUCGGGUAAGUUCCGACCUGCACGAAUGGCGUAAUGAUGGCCAGGCUGUCUCCACCCGAGACUCAGUGAAAUUGAACUCGCUGUGAAGAUGCAGUGUACCCGCGGCAAGACGGAAAGACCCCGUGAACCUUUACUAUAGCUUGACACUGAACAUUGAGCCUUGAUGUGUAGGAUAGGUGGGAGGCUUUGAAGUGUGGACGCCAGUCUGCAUGGAGCCGACCUUGAAAUACCACCCUUUAAUGUUUGAUGUUCUAACGUUGACCCGUAAUCCGGGUUGCGGACAGUGUCUGGUGGGUAGUUUGACUGGGGCGGUCUCCUCCUAAAGAGUAACGGAGGAGCACGAAGGUUGGCUAAUCCUGGUCGGACAUCAGGAGGUUAGUGCAAUGGCAUAAGCCAGCUUGACUGCGAGCGUGACGGCGCGAGCAGGUGCGAAAGCAGGUCAUAGUGAUCCGGUGGUUCUGAAUGGAAGGGCCAUCGCUCAACGGAUAAAAGGUACUCCGGGGAUAACAGGCUGAUACCGCCCAAGAGUUCAUAUCGACGGCGGUGUUUGGCACCUCGAUGUCGGCUCAUCACAUCCUGGGGCUGAAGUAGGUCCCAAGGGUAUGGCUGUUCGCCAUUUAAAGUGGUACGCGAGCUGGGUUUAGAACGUCGUGAGACAGUUCGGUCCCUAUCUGCCGUGGGCGCUGGAGAACUGAGGGGGGCUGCUCCUAGUACGAGAGGACCGGAGUGGACGCAUCACUGGUGUUCGGGUUGUCAUGCCAAUGGCACUGCCCGGUAGCUAAAUGCGGAAGAGAUAAGUGCUGAAAGCAUCUAAGCACGAAACUUGCCCCGAGAUGAGUUCUCCCUGACUCCUUGAGAGUCCUGAAGGAACGUUGAAGACGACGACGUUGAUAGGCCGGGUGUGUAAGCGCAGCGAUGCGUUGAGCUAACCGGUACUAAUGAACCGUGAGGCUUAACCUUACAACGCCGAAGGUGUUU